rnacentral:rRNA from 2 species
ACGAUCACGGCGGGCGGCACGACGCUCACCACCGCGCUGUCGACGGGCCCCGUCCAGCAACUGACGCAGACGGUCAGCUCGGCGAUCACGCCGAUCACGUCGAUGGUCACGGGCACGACGCAGACGGUCGGCAACGUGACGGGCCUCGGCGCGCCCGUCAACACGCUGCUCGGCACGAUCGGCGGCGGGCUGAACCAGGCCGGCGCGCUGAUCUCGAAGACGGGCAACAACCCGGUCACGACGGGCCUCGGCCAAACGGUGUCGGCGACGGGCAACACGAUCACGUCGGUCGGCGGCCUGCUGACGGGCGGCAGCGGCGCGACGAACCCGCUCGCGCCGAUCACGGCCGCCGUCGGCGGCCUGACGGGCACGCUCAGCGGCGUCAGCGGCGCAACCUCGGGCACCCCGCUCGCACCGCUCACGAACGUCGUGUCGACGGUCACCGGCGCGCUCUCCGGCGCCACCGGCAGCGCGACGUCGACGAGCCCGCUCGCGCCCAUCACGGGCCUCGUAUCGACGGUCACCGGCGCACUCUCCGGCGCCACCGGCGGCGCGACGGGCUCGACCAGCCCGCUCGCGCCCGUCACCGGCCUCGUGUCGACGGUCACCGGCGCGCUCUCCGGCGCCACCGGCGGCACGACGUCGACGAGCCCGCUCGCGCCCGUCACGAAUCUCGUGUCGACCGCCACGGGCGCGCUCGGCGGCGCGACCGCCGCGCCGGCGACGAGCACGACGACGAGCGCGACGAACCCGGUCGCGAGCCUCACCGCACCGUUGACCGGCACGAGCAGCGGCACGAGCGGCGCGACCAACCUGCUGGCGCCCGUCACGUCGCUCGUCGGCGGCCUGCUCGGCGGCAUCAAGAAGUAAAAGGGCCGGCGCCCACCCAGCAUCAGAAAAGACAGCGAGGAGCACCAUCAUGACCCAGCAACGUUUCGCCCCAUCGUUCGCGCUCGCGGCCUGGCGCGUUCCGCUCACCGCACUCGCCACCGCGUGCGUACUCGCCGCGUGCGGCGGCAGCGACGUCACCGCGCCGCCGUCCGCCGGCGGCGGCACGAGCGGGACCAGCGGCACGAGCGGCACGAGCGGAACCAGUGGCACAAGCGGCACCAGCGGCACGGCGGGCACGUCGGGCGUCGUCAACACGCUCGGCAAGACGGCGACCGAUCUCGGCAACACGAUCAGCUCGACGAGCGUGCCGGGCCUCGGCAGCGGCGUGACGCAGGGCGUCGGCGCGACGGUCGGCAGCACGGGCGGCAUCAUCAACGCCGCGGCGGAUGCGCUCAGCAACGGCCUCGGCCAGACCGGCUCGACGCAGAACCCGGUCGGCACGACGGUCGCGGGCCUCGGCAACGUCGUGAGCGCGACGA